CAGUCGACGGUGAGAGGAGCUUGCUCCUUGGAUCAGUGGCGAACGGGUGAGUAACACGUGAGCAAUCUGCCCUUGACUCUGGGAUAACUGCGGGAAACUGUAGCUAAUACCGGAUAUUACCUUGGAAGGCAUCUUCUGGGGUGGAAAGAAUUUUGGUCAAGGAUGAGCUCGCGGCCUAUCAGCUAGUUGGUGAGGUAAUGGCUCACCAAGGCGACGACGGGUAGCCGGCCUGAGAGGGUGACCGGCCACACUGGGACUGAGACACGGCCCAGACUCCUACGGGAGGCAGCAGUGGGGAAUAUUGCACAAUGGGCGCAAGCCUGAUGCAGCAACGCCGCGUGAGGGACGAAGGCCUUCGGGUUGUAAACCUCUUUUAGUAGGGAAGAAGCGACUGGGUUUUCCUGGGAGUGACGGUACCUGCAGAAAAAGCACCGGCUAACUACGUGCCAGCAGCCGCGGUAAUACGUAGGGUGCAAGCGUUGUCCGGAAUUAUUGGGCGUAAAGAGCUCGUAGGCGGUUUGUCGCGUCUGCUGUGAAAACCCGAGGCUCAACCUCGGGCCUGCAGUGGGUACGGGCAGACUAGAGUGCGGUAGGGGAGAUUGGAAUUCCUGGUGUAGCGGUGGAAUGCGCAGAUAUCAGGAGGAACACCAAUGGCGAAGGCAGAUCUCUGGGCCGUAACUGACGCUGAGGAG
rnacentral:rRNA from 1 species